rnacentral:rRNA from 1 species
UACGGAGGGGGCUAGCGUUGUUCGGAAUUACUGGGCGUAAAGCGCACGUAGGCGGCUUUGUAAGUUAGAGGUGAAAGCCCAGGGCUUAACCCUGGAAUUGCCUUUAAGACUGCAUCGCUAGAAUCGUGGAGUGGUAAGUGGAAUUCCGAGCGUAGAGGUGAAAUUCGUAGAUAUUCGGAAGAACACCAGUGGCGAAGGCGACUUACUGGACACGUAUUGACGCUGAGGUGCGAAAGCGUGGGGAGCAAACAGG